AGGACAAAUCCCCAGCAGAAAAUGAUCGCAGACAUGUAAUUUUUGUACAAUACUGAGAUUGGAAUGUGUACAGAACAAACGUUUUAUGUAAGUACUACUCAAAGAUGAAGAGGAAAUCGUGGUUGCUCCAUCGAGCCAAUUGGAAUACUGCUCACCAAAUUUGGAUUAUGUUUUCUUACAUGCUGGUGUGUAACGUAAGAAGUGACAGAAAAUUGCACUGGAUGCAGAGUCUGUGCUCCUCUUCAUCCUUCGGUCACGUCAACAGACUGGUUGCUACCUGAAAUGCAAACGAGGGAUUUUAAAGCUGGACCUGUAUCGUGCAUUAACGUAGACGAGUGACAGCGGUGUUUGCCGAGUCUCACAGUGCCGUGAGAGAGGUGUGUCCUUUUGCAGAGCUGGCAUAGCUUGCAGGUGUCUGGAGGUGCGGAGCUCAACAUUACCAGGAGGAAGAUACAGCGUCUGCGUUGCAGGAAGCUUUUUGCUGCAAUAUUAGUGAAAAAAUUCACACUCUUUGGCUGGUAACUGUUGGCUGUAAUUCUUGUUGUGGCCAUUCACACCUUUAGUUACAAGAAUCAGGGAUGGUUCUUAAGCUGGUAAAAUAAUUAAUUAUUGAAGAGUUUGCAGACUAUUUACAAUGUGAAAGUGACCUCUUUGUUUGAGGAAAUGCCGAUAUUGAUUCGAAUGUGACGAUAAAUGAAAGGAAAAUUGCUGUAGGUAUCUUCUUACCCCCUGUCGUGGCAUAUUAGAGAACAGGUCUAUCAAUGUUUUUA